ACGAACGCUGGCGGCGUGCUUAACACAUGCCAGUCGAACGGAAAGGCCCUGCUUUUGUGGGGUGCUCGAGUGGCGAACGGGUGAGUAACACGUGAGUAACCUGCCCUUGACUUUGGGAUAACUUCAGGAAACUGGGGCUAAUACCGGAUAGGAGCUCCUGCUGCCUGGUGGGGGUUGGAAAGUUUCGGCGGUUGGGGAUGGACUCGCGGCUUAUCAGCUUGUUGGUGGGGUAGUGGCUUACCAAGGCUUUGACGGGUAGCCGGCCUGAGAGGGUGACCGGCCACAUUGGGACUGAGAUACGGCCCAGACUCCUACGGGAGGCAGCGGUGGGGAAUAUUGCACAAUGGGCGGAAGCCUGAUGCAGCAACGCCGCGUGCGGGAUGACGGCCUUCGGGUUGUAAACCGCUUUCGCCUGUGACGAAGCGUGAGUGACGGUAAUGGGUAAAGAAGCACCGGCUAACUACGUG
rnacentral:rRNA from 1 species